UACAGAGGUCCCAAGCGUUGUUCGGAUUCACUGGGCUUAAAGGGCGCGUAGGCGGGUUGCCAAGUCCGGGGUGAAAGCCCCCAGCUCAACUGGGGAAGGGCCUUGGAUACUGGUGAUCUCGAGGGAGGUAGGGGCAUGCGGAACUUCCGGUGGAGCGGUGAAAUGCGUAGAUAUCGGAAGGAACGCCGGUGGCGAAAGCGGCGUGCUGGACCUCUUCUGACGCUGAGGCGCGAAAGCCAGGGGAGCAAACGGG
rnacentral:rRNA from 1 species